rnacentral:rRNA from 1 species
GACGUAGGGCGCGAGCGUUGUCCGGAUUUAUUGGGCGUAAAGAGCUCGUAGGCGGCUUGUCGCGUCGUUCGUGAAAACCCGGGGCUCAACUCCGGGCUUGCGGGCGAUACGGGCAGGCUAGAGUUCGGUAGGGGAGACUGGAAUUCCUGGUGUAGCGGUGAAAUGCGCAGAUAUCAGGAGGAACACCGGUGGCGGAGGCGGGUCUCUGGGCCGAUACUGACGCUGAGGAGCGAAAGCGUGGGGAGCGAACAGG